rnacentral:rRNA from 1 species
GACGAACGCUGGCGGCGUGCUUAACACAUGCAAGUCGAACGGAAAGGCCCUGCUUGCCGGGUGCUCGAGUGGCGAACGGGUGAGUAACACGUGGGUGAUCUGCCCCUUACUUUGGGAUAAGCCUGGGAAACUGGGUCUAAUACUGGAUAGGACCAUGCUGUAGGUGGUGUGGUGGAAAGAUUAGUUUCGGUAAGGGAUGAGCUCGCGGCCUAUCAGCUUGUUGGUGGGGUAAUGGCCUACCAAGGCGUCGACGGGUAGCCGGCCUGAGAGGGUGGACGGCCACAUUGGGACUGAGAUACGGCCCAGACUCCUACGGGAGGCAGCAGUGGGGAAUAUUGCACAAUGGGCGCAAGCCUGAUGCAGCGACGCCGCGGGGGGGAUGACGGCCUUCGGGUUGUAAACUCCUUUCAGCCAUGACGAAGCCCUUGUGGUGACGGUAGUGGUAGAAGAAGCACCGGCUAACUACGUG